AGGGGAAUAGCUGUUCCAGUUAAGAACGGUGAUGCAGAGAAUGAAAAGAAAGCAGAUUCAUCGCAUAUUGACAAGGUUUAAAAGAAGGCUGACAUAAAUGAACCCAAAACUCGAAGCGGUAAACAAAGUGCUUCUGAGGUAAUCAAAGAAUUGCAGGUCCUAUUUGAGAAAGUUUAGGAGUCCGGAAAUGGAGUUUUAAAUAAGCUUGACACUGGAAAAUUUCGCUAUCAUCACAAAAAAUCUGUUUAUCAAGGUACUACGAAGGUAUUUCAUAUGAUUACUUCAAACUCAUGGGAAACAGAUCCCUUACUGUCAAAAGGUAAGUUUAGUUAUAUGGAUAAUAAUGAGAUUGUGAGUUCACAGAACCUGUCUUCUACUAUAAGGAAACUGUGUAUGUGGGAAAAGAAGCUCUAUGAUGAAGUCAAGGAGCUAAAAUUGGGUUUUCUUUUUCCAUAAAUGUAUGGGAAGGAGGAAUGUGCAGAGAGAGCAAGGGAGAUGAUUGAAAUCAUGGAUUAUAAAGAGCCAGGGCCUAAUACUAACCCCAGAACUAGUUCUGUUUUACUUGGUUCAGCAACUUUAGUUCUAUAAUAAAGAGCCAGGGCCCUCCUCCCCAACCACAACCUUAGUUCUGUUUUACUUGGUUCAGCAAACUAUUAAGAUGGUUUUACAACUUAGGAUUAGGCUAUAUAUGUAUUGUAAAAUCUAUGGAUUUUCCCUUUCUAUGUUACAU